CAGUCGAACGGAGUUACGAUGAAACCUAGUGAUUCGUAACUUAGUGGCGGACGGGUGAGUAACGCGUGGAUAACCUGCCUUGCACUGGGGGAUAACACUUAGAAAUAGGUGCUAAUACCGCAUAAGCGCACAGAGCCGCAUGGCUCAGUGUGAAAAACUCCGGUGGUGUAAGAUGGAUCCGCGUCUGAUUAGCUGGUUGGCGGGGUAGAAGCCCACCAAGGCGACGAUCAGUAGCCGGCCUGAGAGGGUGAACGGCCACAUUGGGACUGAGACACGGCCCAAACUCCUACGGGAGGCAGCAGUGGGGAAUAUUGCACAAUGGGGGAAACCCUGAUGCAGCAACGCCGCGUGAGUGAAGAAGUCAUUCGUGAUGUAAAGCUCUAUCAGCAGGGAAGAAAAUGACGGUACCUGAGUAAGAAGCCCCGGCUAACUACGUGCCAGCAGCCGCGGUAAUACGUAGGGGGCAAGCGUUAUCCGGAUUUACUGGGUGUAAAGGGAGCGUAGACGACCAGACAAGUCUGAAGUGAAAAUCCAGCGCUUAACGUUGGAAGUGCUUUGGAAACUGCCGGGCUAGAGUGCAGGAGGGGCAGGCGGAAUUCCUAGUGUAGCGGUGAAAUGCGUAGAUAUUAGGAGGAACACCAGUGGCGAAGGCGGCCUGCUGGACUGCAACUGACGUUGAGGCUCGAAGGCGUGGGGAGCAAACAGGAUUAGAUACCCUGGUAGUCCACGCGGUAAACGAUGAUUACUAGGUGUCGGGGGGCUAGAGCCCUUCGGUGCCGUCGCAAACGCAAUAAGUAAUCCACCUGGGGAGUACGUUCGCAAGAAUGAA
rnacentral:rRNA from 1 species